ensembl:lncRNA
GGCCUCUUCAUCACAUUAAAAACAGCCUUUUUCACUUUCCAAUGGUGAAACUUACAGUAUUUCGGAGGACUUCUCUUUAGCAAGUUAGCUCUAUGAUUUAAUAUUUAAAUGCAUUUAUUGCUGUGGUUUACAGUCCUUUAUUAUCAAUUGGAGUAAAUUUGCUUUGGUGUCAUGGUAACGGCUGAGAAGAGAAUCAAAACAGGAGCAGCUUUCUCAGAAAAGCUCCCUCUCAGUUAUCUGGAGGGGAAAAGGUGCCGAAGAGUAAAUGACUGUUGUCAAGUCCUACCUUAAUGUUGCAGCGCGCGCUCUGACAUGACAGCAGCGCUCAGGUGUGACCAGCUGACUGCUCAACGCUCCUCAGAGCCGCUCUCCUCCUCCACACAUCCCUCUCUCUCUCUUUCCUUCCCUCGCUCUGCCUCAGUAGGUUCCCAGUUCACUCCUCCUUCUCUCCACAUCCCACCAUUUAAAGACCAGCGAGCACAGAAAAAUCAGUGUCGCCUCCCAGUUCAGCCUGGAAUGUCAGGCCGGCUCCUGUGGCUGUAAUCUCAAGAAGAAGAGAGGAGAACGAAGGGCUGUUCCAGACUUCCGCAGCACUGAGAGGACUCAGACGUGAAGAACUAACAGUUCCUGAGAGCCAAAGAGAAACAGAGCUGAGAUAAGCAGCCCAGCACUGAUAACAGCAGCUCACUGCUCUCAAACUGGUGCUUUUAAACCUCUAAAAGCUCUUCAAACCCCCCCAGAUAGAGAACCAUCAGCACCGGCGCUAACCAACGACAGGUGUUUGACUUUGGUUCCAGGUCGGAACAUUCACACUUCCUCCGGUGAACUGACAGGCUUGAACAAAUAGAAUUCAUUGAUCAGCGGCGGCCUGCUGCCUGGGAACACGCCACAUGUUCCAGGCUCAUCAUGCUAAACCUGCUCCCAUCUACAGACAUGGGGACACGCUGGGACCUGAGACUGGGACCAGUAUUUGGCCUUUUAGCAGGAAUCUUUUAGAGAGGAUUAAAACCGCUCUUGCAACAACUCGGCCUGCCAUUAGCAGGAACCCCCCCCCCCCCACACACACACACACACGGAGGUCCUGCUCAAGGGUUCUUCCUGUUACGGAGGAGUUUGUCCUGUUGGUCCGGGGUUCUUCCUGGGUUCUGGUGGAGCUGAAGACACAAUAAAGCCGUCGGGGUGAAGCUGGAGACCUGAUGAGAAACACGGCAGGAGGCUUCCUGGAGGAAGUGAGUCCUUCACAAAAGUGGCUGAAAUGAAGAUGAUCAUCUGUGGUAAAGAGCCAGGGUGCAUUUAAGAGACUAAAAACAAAAUAAAUGCCUGUCUAUUCAGGUUUGUACUGUUUUACUCAGCAUAACAGGGUGAAUGAUCCUCAUUGUGAUGAACACACCGACCGCAUCCAGACGAAUGAAAAAUGAUCAGCAAACGAGGGGGAAAUGAUGUUUGUAUUGAGAGAAAAGGCUCAAGAAGCUGAGUCAGUAGCUUCACACAGGCUGGAAGCUUGAAAAAAGCCAAGAUUAAAAUAGGAUGAAGUCUUUUCUAUUAUUACACUCUGACAAUGUCUCAAAAUAAAACUGCAAAGCCUUUUG